UACGGAGGAGGCAAGCGUUAUCCGGAAUUAUUGGGCGUAAAGCGUCCGCAGGUGGCGAUUCAAGUCUGCGGUCAAAGACUGGGGCUUAACCCUGGGAAGGCCGUGGAAACUGAAAAGCUAGAGUGCAGUAGGGGUAGAGGGAAUUCCCGGUGUAGCGGUGAAAUGCGUAGAGCUCGGGAAGAACAUCGGUGGCGAAAGCGCUCUGCUGGACUGCAACUGACACUCAGGGACGAAAGCUAGGGGAGCGAAUGGG
rnacentral:rRNA from 1 species